AUUGAACGCUGGCGGCAGGCCUAACACAUGCAAGUCGAACGGUAACAGGAAGCAGCUUGCUGCUUUGCUGACGAGUGGCGGACGGGUGAGUAAUGUCUGGGAAACUGCCUGAUGGAGGGGGAUAACUACUGGAAACGGUAGCUAAUACCGCAUAACGUCGCAAGACCAAAGAGGGGGACCUUCGGGCCUCUUGCCAUCGGAUGUGCCCAGAUGGGAUUAGCUAGUAGGUGGGGUAACGGCUCACCUAGGCGACGAUCCCUAGCUGGUCUGAGAGGAUGACCAGCCACACUGGAACUGAGACACGGUCCAGACUCCUACGGGAGGCAGCAGUGGGGAAUAUUGCACAAUGGGCGCAAGCCUGAUGCAGCCAUGCCGCGUGUAUGAAGAAGGCCUUUCGGGUUGUAAAGUACUUUGCAGCGGGGAGGAAGGCGAUAAGGUUAAUAACCUUGUCGAUUGACGUUACCCGCAGAAGAAGCACC
rnacentral:rRNA from 1 species